rnacentral:rRNA from 1 species
UACGUAGUGGGCGAGCGUUGUCCGGAGUUACUGGGCGUAAAGCGCUUGUAGGCGGUCCCCCAAGUUUGGGGUGACAGUUGCCGACUUAAUCGGCAAGGUGCCUCAAAGACUGGCGGACUUGAGGGCCACAGAGGGACAUGGAACUCCAGGUGUAGUGGUGAAAUGCGUAGAUAUCUGGAAGAACACCAAAGGCGAAGGCAGUGUCCUGGGUGGUCGCUGACGCUGAGAGGCGAAAGCCAGGGGAGCGAACGGG